UUUAUUCCAAUAUGGGAGAGCAGCAGGUCAUCCACAAAAAUCUGCUACCUCCCCCCAUAAGCCAGCUGCUUGUAUUGGGUAGAAGGGCAAAGAUUACGUGGGAAAGUAAGAAUGACAGGCCUGGGGAAGCAGGCAAGGUCUCAUGGUUACAGGCAAGAGGGCUGGGGGCUGCAAAGAGCGGUGUCUCCGGGACUAGGUUGGUUCAGCCAGGAGGCUGUAAAUCUUUCCAUAGUGAUCGAAGUUCUCGGGAAAGGAGGAUGGCCUGCCUUCCCAUGCCAGCUCCCAUGUCCCAGGGCAAACAGCUCUCAGCCAGGUUGGAAUGUGCUUUCUCUAAUCGGAACAGAACUAUUAUGGUAAACAGAGCAUGAUUCGUAUUUCUUAUCAUUGUAGCUAGUCCCCCCUAUUCCACUCUGCCCCUAACAGAAAGCAUUGAACUAGGAGGGAAGGCCAGGAAGCCCCUCUUCGGCCAUUUGGUGCUCUUGUGAUCAUUACAAAUUAGCCACAGGCCACAGGUGUGCUGUAACCGCUGCUUACCAGCACCUGAGUCUGUAAAAGGGAGACGAAACCACUUCACAGAGUUGCUGGACCAAUUAUGUGAGCGAGUGCCUGGCUGUGUCCUCUACCCGGAAUUAUUGUUUCUCACUACUCCACCGCUCAGAGUUUGGGUAGGGUGGGGCCAAUAACCCAGUCUUCUUUUUAGACGUGGUGGUGGCCUCAGGAGGUUCUGGCUGUGACAGGGCUGUGACCCAGUGAGUGUCAGGAUGGAGCCCCGUCUGGCAGACCACUCAGUGGCCUGGGCCUGGCUCGCCCUCACCCAGUGAAGUGGAGAACCUGGGGGCAGGGCUGGAAUGGCCUGGGUGUGCUUGGGUGGUGGGGUGAGUGCAGUCACCAAGGGCGACAGGCAGCUGCGCAGGCCCUGGGCCCCCACUCACCACGGGAGGAAGGCAUUCGGGAAGUGAUCUCAGCCACUCAGACAUCUUGGAGCCUGGGCCCAGGCUGGACCAAGGCGGCAGCACCAGGGUUGGGCAUGCCGUGACCUGGCUCCCGGGGUGGCCGCCAGGUCAGGAGACCAUGGAACCACAUACAGUCAGAGCUGUUGUUCCAGACAAGCCCAGGGCGUCGCCAGAGGGCUGUUGGCAAGGCUCCCCGUGAGCAGCCUUCUGCCCCCUCCUCCCAGCUCCUCCGAGUUCGGGAGACUUGAGCGCACAUCUUUCAGGUCAGCGUUUCUUCAGAGACGCCCAGUGGAGUUGACCGCAGCUCUCAGAAGCCUGGACAGGCUUAGGAAACAGUGACAGAGGCCGGAGCAGUGCCAUGCAGAGCGCCCCACGGUCUCAAGGGGGCACGACCCAGGACCCCACACCAGUAUCUUCUUAGAAGACCGCAGGGACCCGCCCGGCUGGAAGAGCCACCAAGAGCCCCGGUUCGGUUCUGAUGGGGAGCUAAGGCUUCCAGCUGCACCCCGGUUGCUCAGUGCGCCAGCUGCCACCAGGGCCAUGGAGACGGCGGUGAUUGGCAUGGUGGCCGUGCUGUUUGUGGUCACCGUGGCCAUCACCUGCAUCCUCUGCUGCUUCAGCUGUGAAUCGAAGGCCCCGGAUCCUCAGCGGGGUCCUGGCCACAGCUUCACAGUGGCCACAUUUCACCAGGAGGCUUCUCUCUUCACGGGGCCAGCUCGCCAUGCCCAGGCAGUGGCGGGUGCCCGGGACUUCUGGACCUUCAUGUGAGGCCUCACAGCCCCCAGGAUUUGCUUUGCUGGUGGGUCAGACUCACCCCCCAACAAGCCUUCCCUGAUGUCCCACUCCUCCACGUCUGGCAUUCCUGCCCUUCCCUGCCUGUGUCCAGCAAUCUCCCUGUUGCCUCCCAUCCCAGGUUGCUGUGCCCUGUGGCCCAGGAGAUCCACCCUGAUGGGACCCGGUGGAGUCAGCCCUGACCCCCAAGAGCUCCACUGGACCCCGCCCACAGGAUGGGGCUUCAGAGAGGUCUGAAGAGUGAGUGACCAAACAGUGUUGGAUUGCACGGUGGGCCAUCUCUUCUGAUCGACAGGGGAACUGGAAUCUAUCGGAAGCAGAUUCUGUUAACUCAGGUUUAUCCCAGGAUGCCUACAAACUGGUUCUGUUGCCACCAGAGGAAGCAGCGCCCUCAAGUGGACGCUUCAUACAAACCACUUCUUGCCUGCUCCCCUCGCUGAGCCUUUUUGCUACUUGCAUGUGCAGAUCCCACAGAGCCCAGCCUUGAGGCCAGCCCCUGCCAGUUGCCUGAAAUCAGCCCUGCCAUGCUGAAACCAAAGGGCUACGCGUGAUUUAUUUUAUAAUUGAAGAUGUAUAUCCUUUUAUGGGUCUCCCAAGAGUCGGGGUUGGAAAACCACAAAAGGAAGCAGAAGAGAAAACCAGAGUCACAGAAAGGAUGAGAGGUUUGUUAACAGGAAAGCCAGAAAGAAGACUUGGAAACCUAUUUUGAGAGAGACUUUAUUACUCUUUUCUUAGUGGUCACUUCUAUUCGUAGAGAAUGUGAGUGAUUUGAGCCCGGAA